ACGCUCGACACCUACGGGAAGCAGUCGGGAAUAUUGCGCAAUGGAGGAAACUCUGACGCAGUGACGCCGCGUGCAGGAAGAAGGUUUUCGGAUUGUAAACUGCUUUAGACAGGGAAGAAGAAGUGACAGUACCUGUAGAAUAAGCUCCGGCUAACUACGUGCCAGCAGCCGCGGUAAUCUGAGCGGGCUGGCAAGGC
rnacentral:rRNA from 1 species